rnacentral:sRNA from 1 species
UGACCCUUCUUAAGCCGAGGGUCACCUAGCCAACUGACGUUGUUAGUGAA